AACACCUGCAUCGCCCACAACACGGAGUAUGUGUAUGCUAUCGGUAGAGUUCUGCAGGUGUGGCCAGCGGUGACUUCUCACUUGUAAUCUGCUGCUCGAGGUAUCAACACACCGUAGAGAACUUGCAAGCAUGAGGAAAUUCCUUCUGUGUUUCUUGUUCGUCGUCCUGCUCGCCCAUGCAGGACGCGCCUCAGAGGAUGACUCUUCUGAGGACCAAUCUGGGGACUACUCUGGGGACUACUCCGACGAAUACUCCGGAGACUACUCUGGAGAAUAUUCCAAUGAAUAUUCCGAUGAAUACUCCGAGGAAUACUCCGGGGACUACACGACUCCUCCGCCGUGAAUGUAGAUCGGGGAACAGCCAUCGCUCGCUCAUUGGAACAAUAUUGCGAGGAACAUAUGAAUAUCAUGAAGAACAUAGGUUAUGAAUAUCACGAAGAACAGAGGUUGUGAAUAUCAUGAAGAACAUAUGCAUACCAUUAAGAACAGGGGUAAGAAUAUCAUGAACAUAUGAAUAUCACGAAGAAGAAGGGUUAUGAAUAUCACCAUGAGUACCGGAAGUUAUAGUUAUCACGAGGGGAAAAAAACAUGAAAAUCAAGAAUUUCACGAGGGAAAAAAGUUAAUGAGGAAAAAAUUUAAGUGAUUCAUGAGGCUUAUGAGGACCAGUGAGGAGAACCGUGAUUAUUGAUUUCCUUGUCAAUUACCAUAGAGCGAUGGAUGUCUUAAAUAUGAUAAGCUGUCUCCAGUAUGAUAAUUAUUGCACCAUAAGUAUAUCAGAUAUGAUUAGGUAUGCAAUUAGACAAAUGUAAUCAUAUAUAAAUAUAUACUUAUAUAUAUGCAAAUUAAUAAAACAUGAAUCAGAAU